rnacentral:rRNA from 1 species
UGAGGAAUAUUGGUCAAUGGGCGGGAGCCUGAACCAGCCAAGCCGCGUGAGGGAAGAAGGUACAGCGUAUCGUAAACCUCUUUUGUCGGGGAACAAAGGCGGGGACUAGUCCCCGGAUGAGGGUACCUGAAGAAAAAGCAUCGGCUAACUCCGUGCC